UACGUAGGGUGCGAGCGUUAAUCGGAAUUACUGGGCGUAAAGCGUGCGCAGGCGGUUAUUUAAGUCAGGUGUGAAAGCCCUGGGCUUAACCUAGGAAUUGCGCUUGAGACUGGAUAGCUUGGAGUGCGGCAGAGGGAGGUGGAAUUCCACGUGUAGCAGUGAAAUGCGUAGAGAUGUGGAGGAACACCGAUGGCGAAGGCAGCCUCCUGGGCCAGCACUGACGCUGAGGAGCGAAAGCCAGGGGAGCAAACGGG
rnacentral:rRNA from 1 species